UAAUAAGUGUUUUAUGGCACUUUUUAAAUCCAUAUCCACCUUGUGUGCAAUGUCAGUCGAUCUUCUUCAUGGAGAUCGACCAAACAUCAACCUUUAUCUUUUAACUCUUUGUCUGAAAAAUAUAUGAAUAAACAAUUCAAAAAUA
rnacentral:misc_RNA from 1 species